rnacentral:Y_RNA from 1 species
GGCUGGUCUGAGUGCAGUGGUGUUUACAACUAAUUGAUCACAACCAGUUACAGACUUCUUUGCUCCUUUUCCACUCCCAUUGCUUCACUUGACUAGCCUAAA